CCUACGGGAGGCAGCAGUGGGGAAUAUUGGUCAAUGGGCGCAAGCCUGAACCAGCGACGCCGCGUGCGGGAUGAAGGGGCUUUGCCUCGUAAACCGCUGUCGGAUGGGACGAAAGGUGGCUUUAAGCCACUGGGACGGUACCAUCAAAGGAAGGAUCGGCUAACUACGUGCCAGCAGCCGCGGUAAUACGUAGGAUCCGAGCGUUGUCCGGAGUUACUGGGUGUAAAGGGUGCGUAGGCUGUUCUGUGCGUCAGAGGUGAAAUCCACGGGCUUAACUCGUGGGGUGCCUUUGAUACGGCAGGGCUUGAGUACGAGAGAGGUGCGUGGAAUUCCUGGUGUAGCAGUGAAAUGCGUAGAUAUCAGGAGGAACACCGGUGGCGAAGGCGGCGCACUGGCUCGUAACUGACGCUGAGGCACGAAAGCGUGGGGAUCAAACAGGAUUAGAUACCCUGGUAGUCCACGCCUUAAACGAUGCAUGCUUGGUGUUGGUCUCGCAAGAGAUCAGUGCCGUAGUUAACAUGAUAAGCAUGCCACCUGGGGAGUACGAUCGCAAGGUUGAAACUCAAAGGAAUUGACGG
rnacentral:rRNA from 1 species